AGAGUUUGAUCAUGGCUCAGAAUCAACGCUGGCGGCGGCCUAACACAUGCAAGUCGAACGAGAAAGUGGAGCAAUCCAUGAGUAAAGUGGCGUACGGGUGAGUAACACGUGGGUGAUCUACCUCUUAGUGAGGAAUAACCCUGGGAAACCGGGGCUAAUACCGCAUAAGCCUUAGCAGGGAAAGUCGAAAGACGCUGAGAGAGGAGCCCGCGGCCGAUUAGCUAGUUGGUGAGGUAAGAGCCCACCAAGGCAGAGAUCGGUAGCCGGCCUGAGAGGGCACACGGCCACACUGGCACUGAAACACGGGCCAGACUCCUACGGGAGGCAGCAGUGGGGAAUCUUGCACAAUGGGGGAAACCCUGAUGCAGCGACGCCGCGUGAGCGAUGAAGCCCUUCGGGGUGUAAAGCUCUUUCGUCAGGGAAGAUAGUGACGGUACCUGGAGAAGCAGCUGCGGCUAACUACGUGCCAGCAGCCGCGGUAAUACGUAGGCAGCAAGCGUUGUUCGGAGUUACUGGGCGUAAAGGGUGUGUAGGCGGUUCUUUAAGUUUGGUGUGAAAUCUCCCGGCUCAACCGGGAGGGUGCGCCGAAUACUGAGGGACUAGAGUGUGGGAGAGGAAAGUGGAAUUCCUGGUGUAGCGGUGAAAUGCGUAGAUAUCAGGAGGAACACCGGUGGUGUAGACGGCUUUCUGGACCAUAACUGACGCUGAGACACGAAAGCGUGGGUAGCAAACAGGAUUAGAUACCCUAGUAGUCC
rnacentral:rRNA from 1 species